rnacentral:rRNA from 1 species
GGAUUAGAUACCCUGGUAGUCCACGCAGUAAACGUUGUUCACUAGGUGUAGCGGGUAUUGACCCCUGCUGUGCCGCAGUUAACGCAUUAAGUGAACCGCCUGGGGAGUACGGCCGCAAGGUUAAAACUCAAAGGAAUUGACGGGGGCCCGCACAAGCGGUGGAGCAUGUGGUUUAAUUCGACGCAACGCGAAGAACCUUACCUGGAUUUGACAUCCCGGGAAUCCUAUCGAAAGACUGGAGUGCCCUUCGGGGAACCCGGAGACAGGUGCUGCAUGGCUGUCGUCAGCUCGUGCCG